rnacentral:rRNA from 1 species
UACGUAGGGGGCAAGCGUUGUCCGGAUUUAUUGGGCGUAAAGAGCGUGUAGGCGGCCACACAGGUCUGCUGUGAAAACUCGAGGCUCAACCUCGAGCUGUCGGUGGAAACCGUGUGGCUAGAGUCCGGAAGAGGAGAGUGGAAUUCCCGGUGUAGCGGUGAAAUGCGCAGAUAUCGGGAGGAACACCGGUGGCGAAGGCGGUUCUCUGGGCCUUACCUGGACGCUGAGGAGCGAAAGCGUGGGUAGCAAACAGG